rnacentral:lncRNA from 1 species
AUUAAUGAUAGAAUUGAUAGAUCAGAAGAUUACUGGUAAGAAAAGAUGAAAUUGAAGCAAUAUUGACCAGCUUGGACGAAAUGAUGAAAAGAGUCAAAAUUGAGUUGGAGGAGAGAUUAAGGGUUUAAUCGAAAUAAAAAAAGAUAGGGUUUGAUGAUGAGAGAUGAAUUCGGAACGAGAGAGAGAGAAGACUUACGUAGGAAUAGGAACGCGAUGAGGAGUGGUGAGAGAAGAAGCGAGUAUUGUCUGAAGGAGUACUAAUUUGCAUUCAUUGGAAACUUCUAGAAAAAUAAGAGUGAUAAUGCUAUGCACAAGUAUACCUAGUCACUUUAUAUUUCGG